AGAGCGCAGGGUGGAUGCCUUGGCACUGAGAGCCGAUGAAAGACGUGAUAAGCUGCGAAAAGCUGCGGUAAGGAGCAAAUAUCCUGUGACCCGCAGAUAUCUGAAUGGGGAAACCUGGCUGAGCAAACCUCAGUCGUCCUAUACUGAAUACAUAGGUAUAGGUCGGGAACCUCCUGAACUGAAACAUCUAAGUAGGGAGAGGAAGAGAAAGAAACAUCGAUUCUGUUAGUAGCGGCGAGCGAAAGCGGAAGAGCCCAAACCAGAGUGCGUGCACUCUGGGGUAUGGACUGCAACAUGGCAGUGUGAUCGAUAGCAGAAGGGUCUGGGAAGUCCCGCCAAAGAGAGUGAAAGCCUCGUAUGCGAAAUUGAAAACACGCCUAGCAGUAUCCGGAGUACCACGAGACACGAGAAACCUUGUGGGAAGGCGGAGGGACCACCCUCCAAGGCUAAAUACUACUCAGUGACCGAUAGCGCAUAGUACUGUGAAGGAAAGGUGAAAAGGACCCCGGGAGGGGAGUGAAAGAGAACCUGAAACCCUGUGUUUACAAGCUGUCGAAGCACGCAAGUGCGACGGCGUACUUUUUGUAGAACGGUCCGGCGAGUUAUGAUGAGUGGUAAGGUUAAGGACUUAAGGUCCGGAGCCGAAGCGAAAGCGAGUGUUAAAAGCACGGUUGAAUCGCUUAUCAUAGACCCGAAACCGGGUGAUCUAUCCAUGUCCAGGUUGAAGCUGCCGUAAGAGGUAGUGGAGGACCGAACCCACAUCCGUUGAAAAGGGUGGGGAUGAGGUGUGGAUAGCGGAGAAAUUCCAAUCGAACCCGGAGAUAGCUGGUUCUCCCCGAAAUAGCUUUAGGGCUAGCGUCGAGGUAAGUUGCGUGAAGGUAGAGCACUGAAUAUGUGAUGGCCCCAUCUCGGGGUACUGAGCAUAAUCAAACUGCGAAUGUCACGCCAACAUGCUCGGCAGUCAGACAGCGGGUGAUAAGGUCCGUUGUCAAGAGGGAAACAGCCCAGACCAUCAGCUAAGGUCCCAAAAUGUAUGCUAAGUGGAAAAGGAUGUGGAGAUGUACAGACAACUAGGAGGUUGGCUCAGAAGCAGCCAUCCUUUAAAGAGUGCGUAACAGCUCACUAGUCGAAUGACUCUGCGCCGAUAAUUUACCGGGGCUAAGCAUACUACCGAAGCUAUGGAUCCCAAGGGAUGGUAGGGGAGCGUUCCAUGAACGGAGAAGUACGACCGAAAGGACGUGUGGAGAUCAUGGAAGAGAGAAUGCCGGUGUGAGUAGCGGAACGUGGGUGAGAAUCCCACGCACCGAAAACCCAAGGUUUCCAGAGGAAGGUUCGUCCGCUCUGGGUAAGUCGGGACCUAAGGCGAGGCCGAAAGGCGUAGUCGAUGGACAACAGGUAGAGAUUCCUGUACCCGUAUAUAUGUGAAGGAAUGACGGAGAGAGGAAGCUGCAGCCAGCGGCUGGAAGAGCUGGUGCAAGCGAGAUAUCGGGAUGGCAGGCAAAUCCACCAUCCGAAACGAGAAGGCGUGAAGCGUACGGAAAGCUACGGCGAGUACGGAAGGCAGUGGAGGAACUUCCAAGAAAAGUUUCUAACGUUAAGUAUAUAUGGCCCGUACCGAAAAUGGACACACAUGGGUGAGGAGAGAAUCCUAAGGUGAGCGAGAGAACUAUAGCUAAGGAACUCUGCAAAAUGACUCCGUAACUUAGGGAGAAGGAGUGCUCAUAGAGAUAUGAGCCGCAGUGAAACGGCCCAAGCGACUGUUUACCAAAAACACAGCUCUCUGCUAAGCCGCAAGGCGAAGUAUAGGGGGUGACGCCUGCCCGGUGCUGGAAGGUUAAGGGGAGGGGUUAACGCAAGUGAAGCCCUGAACUGAAGCCCCAGUAAACGGCGGCCGUAACUAUAACGGUCCUAAGGUAGCGAAAUUCCUUGUCAGGUAAGUUCUGACCCGCACGAAAGGCGUAAUGAUUUGGGCACUGUCUCGACAAUGUACCCGGCGAAAUUGUAGUACUAGUGAAGAUGCUAGUUACCUGCGACAAGACAGAAAGACCCCAUGGAGCUUUACUGUAGUUUGAUAUUGGGUUUUGGUAAUUUAUGUACAGGAUAGGUGGGAGACAGAGAAGGAUGUGCGUCAGCAUAUCUGGAGUCAACGUUGGGAUACCACUCUUAAGUUAUUGAAAUUCUAACUUGUGAUCAUAAACUGGUCAGAGGACAAUGUCAGACGGGCAGUUUGACUGGGGCGGUCGCCUCCAAAAGAGUAACGGAGGCGCCCAAAGGUUCCCUCAGUGCGGACAGAAAUCGCACAAAAGAGUGUAAAGGCAGAAGGGAGCUUAACUGGAAGAUAGACAUAUCGAGCAGAUACGAAAGUAGGGCUUAGUGAUCCGGUGGAAUUGAAUGGAAAAGCCAUCGCUCAACGGACAAAAGUUACCCUGGGGAUAACAGGCUUAUCUCCCCCAAGAGUUCACAUCGACGGGGAGGUUUGGCACCUCGAUGUCGGCUCAUCGCAUCCUGGAGCGGAAGUACGUUCCAAGGGUUGGGCUGUUCGCCCAUUAAAGCGGUACGCGAGCUGGGUUCAGAACGUCGUGAGACAGUUCGGUCCUUAUCUGUCGCAGGCGGAAGAUAUUUGAAGGGAGCUGUCCUUAGUACGAGAGGACCAGGAUGGACAUACCGAUGGUUUAUCAGUUGUCACACCAGUGGCAUGGCUGAGUAGCCAAGUAUGGAAGGGAUAAACGCUGAAAGCAUCUAAGUGUGAAGCCCACCCUAAGAUAAGAUAUCUCAUACCGUAAGGUAGUAAGAUUCCAUAAAGACUAUGUGGUUGAUAGGUUGGAGGUGUAAGUACAGUAAUGUAUUGAGCUGACCAAUACUAAUAAAUCGAGGGCUUAACCA
rnacentral:rRNA from 1 species